UUGACCUCGGAUCAGGUAGGGAUACCCGCUGAACUUAAGCAUAUCAUAA
rnacentral:rRNA from 13 species